UAGGGGAGAGCAGAAACAGUCCCCCACUUCCACAAAUGAUGUAGUUGAGUUUCCCACAUUUGGGGAAAUCACAAAGGGUUAGCAUAUCUGGAUCAGCUUUCCUUUGGAAAAACCACCACUUUCAUAGUCAUAUCUCCCCUGCCAGGUAUUAUA
rnacentral:snRNA from 1 species